rnacentral:rRNA from 1 species
GAUGAACGCUGGCGGCGUGCCUAAUACAUGCAAGUCGAGCGAACAGACGAGGAGCUUGCUCCUCUGACGUUAGCGGCGGACGGGUGAGUAACACGUGGAUAACCUACCUAUAAGACUGGGAUAACUUCGGGAAACCGGAGCUAAUACCGGAUAAUAUAUUGAACCGCAUGGUUCAAUAGUGAAAGACGGUUUUGCUGUCACUUAUAGAUGGAUCCGCGCCGCAUUAGCUAGUUGGUAAGGUAACGGCUUACCAAGGCAACGAUGCGUAGCCGACCUGAGAGGGGGAGCGGCCAAAAGGGACCUGAGACCGGGCCAAGCCCCCUACGGGGGGCACAAGUGGGGAAUUUUCCGCAAUGGGCGAAAGCCGGACGGAGCAAACCCGGGGGAGGAAUAAAGGUUUUCGGAUCGUAAAACCUUUUUAUUAGGGAAAAAAAAAGGGGUAAGUAACUAUGCACGUCUUGACGGUACCUAAUCAAAAAGCCCCGGCUAACUACGU